rnacentral:rRNA from 1 species
AGUGAACGCUGGCGGUAGGCCUAACACAUGCAAGUCGAACGGCAGCACAGGAGAGCUUGUUCUCUGGGUGGCGAGUGGCGGACGGGUGAGGAAUACAUCGGAAUCUACCUUUUCGUGGGGGAUAACGUAGGGAAACUUACGCUAAUACCGCAUACGACCUACGGGUGAAAGUGGGGGACCGCAAGGCCUCACGCGAUUAGAUGAGCCGAUGUCCGAUUAGCUAGUUGGCGGGGUAAUGGCCCACCAAGGCGACGAUCGGUAGCUGGUCUGAGAGGAUGAUCAGCCACACUGGAACUGAGACACGGUCCAGACUCCUACGGGAGGCAGCAGUGGGGAAUAUUGGACAAUGGGCGCAAGCCUGAUCCAGCCAUACCGCGUGGGUGAAGAAGGCCCUCGGGUUGUAAAGCCCUUUUGUUGGGAAAGAAAUCCUAUCGGUUAAUAACCGGUGGGGAUGACGGUACCCAAAGAAUAAGCACCGGCUAACUUCGUGCCAGCCGCCGCCGUAACAC